rnacentral:rRNA from 1 species
UUUCUGCCNCCGAAUACAUUAGCAUGGGAUAAUGGAAUAGGACCCUGUCCUCCUAUUUUCAGUUGGUUUUGGCAGCGCGAGGACUAGGGUAAUGAUUAAUAGGGAUAGUUGGGGGCAUUAAUAUUUAAUUGUCAGAGGUGAAAUUCUUGGAUUUAUGAAAGAUUAACUUCUGCGAAAGCAUCUGCCAAGGAUGUUUUCAUUAAUCAAGAACGAAAGUUAGGGGAUCGAAGACGAUCAGAUACCGUCGUAGUCUUAACCAUAAACGAUGCCGACCAGCGAUUAGGAGACGUUGAAUACAAAACACCACCAUCGGCGCGGUCGUCCUUGGCGUUCGUGUUCACGCACGAGCGCGAGGGCGGNUUAGCCCGNUGGCACCGGUGAAUGACUCCCCUAGCAGNUUUGUGAGAA